UGCGGGAGCUUGCUCCCAAAGGUUAGCGGCGGACGGGUGAGUAACACGUGGGCAACCUACCUAUAAGACUGGGAUAACUUCGGGAAACCGGAGCUAAUACCGGAUAAUUCUUUUCUACACAUGUAGAAAAGCUAAAAGACGGUUUACGCUGUCACUUAUAGAUGGGCCCGCUUUUUCAUUAGCUAGUUGGUGAGAUAACGGCUCACCAAGGCCACGAUGCGUAGCCGACCUUUCAUCCUCUCGGCCAGAACUGGANUGAGACACGAUCGAUCUGGNUGUUAACUCGACCAUUCU
rnacentral:misc_RNA from 1 species